GGCGGUGCCUCCACUCCGUGUGCGCGCUCUGGCGCGUACACAGUGCCGCCUUCUCGCGCGUCUGCGGCACACGGGUGGGGCGGCCCUGGAAGCCUGGAGCUGGUCCCCGGGUGGGCUCGGCUGCCCUUGAGGUCCACUCGUGAGUCCCCGGGACCCACUCUGCUCGAUGAGACGCGGCCUCGAGGGCAGGCAGACCCCCAGCCUGGAGCUGCGCCUCCCUGGGGAUGCGAUGCAGUCCCUGGCGCCCAUCUGGGUCACCUUUCACUAAUAGUCAACGUUAACCGAAGGCGCUGUGUGCACGAGAUAAAAGCCUUGGGAGUUAGUUUUACAUUUUUCUGUUUCUCCACAAAUACAGUAAAGUCCUGUAUAUCAGGUAUAUUCUAGGAAAACGGAAAUCUUAAUCUUACCAAGCUGCACUUCAGCUUGUUAAUUCUUUUUUUUUUUUUUAAAGACUGCUGCUAUAUUGAUACGAAAACUCUAGUGACAAAUGGAGCAUAGUGGUGUACACCUCUAGCUCUCCAGAGGCUAAUGCAGGAGGAUUGCCACGAGUUUGAGGCCGGCCUGGUCUGCAUAGUUCAAAGCCAGUGGAAGCUGGAGAGUUGGCUCCGCAGAUGUAUAGGCCCCUGGUUCAGCUCCCACACGCACAUGGUAGCUCAUAGCCAAGUAACUCCAGUCCCACGGAAACCAGUGCCCACUUCUGACAUCCUUGCUCACCAAGCAUGCCUGUGGUGCACAUGCAUAUAGGCAAAUACUCAUAUACAUAAAAAAAAUUCAAAAAAAUUUAAGUAAAAAAAAAAGAAUUAUGUGCUGAACUCUGUCACAAAGGGACAGAGGGGAAAGGCAUGCCCCCCACCCACACACCUACUCCCACGUGGAAAGAAAGGAAGGGAGAAUGCAAUUUUCAGAUUGCAUGGAAGGUUUUUGUUUACAAGCCCAGGCUCUUCUGGCCUUUCUGCUUUGUACCUGAUAAUGAGGUCUUAGAUAUUUUAUAGAUUGUUAGACUAGUCACUCUUUUUUUUUGUUUGUUUGCUUGUUUUUCCAGACAAGCUUUCUUUGUGCACCCCCGGCUGUCCUGAAACCACCUCUAACGACCGACCAGGCUGGCCCUCUGCCUCCAGAGUGCAGGGAUUAAAGGACAUCUAGGGCUCCGGACAUUGGGUAAGUUUCCCUUUAAGUUACCACAGGAAUCAAGAACAACACUGAAAAAAGAAAGAAAGAAAGAAAGAAAGAACAACACUGUAUGGACCCGCCCAGUCUCCCUCUCUCUCUCUCUCUUUUUUUUUAAACAUUGAUCAGUUUAUUAAAGAGGGGAGAGCAAGAGAGAGAGAUGAAGAGAAAGAGAGAAGGUAAGAGAGUAAGAGCCGUCCCAGUCUCUUAACAUGGCCCUAGAUAGCCUGGAACUCACUAUGUAGUCCAGGCUCUUAAUGGCUGGGCCUUCUCUCCAGCACCAUUUUUAGGAGUCUUACUCUGAAUGCAUCUGUGUGAAAAUUGUAGCAUAUAAUAAUAAAUAAUUAUGGCAACAAAAUUUUUGGUAUCAGCUUAAAUAUAUAUUAGGCUGCAAAUAGCAAUUAGCAGGUUCCAUCUUCUUCUUUGACCAUAAGAAAGCCAUAGAACUUCUGUGCGCGUCUCUUCUCUGGGCCUGGCUAAUACUU
ensembl:lncRNA